UAACAUCUGAAUGUAUAUCCAUUCAGGUACCAUUCUAAUGUCUCAAAGGUAUUGAUGCAAUAGCUCUCUUGCUUGCUUUUGUAUAUAGCUGUAUUUCAGCAAAUAACUGUGAGAAUCUCUCUGAAACUGGAGGGAUACCAAGUAGAUGCAAUUGAGAAUUAAAUGAUUUAGGAUCUUAGAUCCCAUUGACUUUCAGUGGAAAUUAAGCUCUUAAAUCAUCUAGGCACUUCUGUAAAUGUCACUUGCUGUGAACAGCUGAGAAACUGGAAUAGAGUACUUUAUCACAACUUCUGACUUGUGGCUUAGGCACCCUGUGCUCCUGCUCAGGGUGCACCUUGAAACAGUUUAUAGAACUGCUAGUGUUCUAAAUGUGAAUUCAACCUUUGAAAAGUUAAACACAGUGCUCCCCUGUCUGAGGGGCCCCCACCUCUCACAAUUAAAGAUAAGAAAUGUGAUCUGUUCUACCUAUAGUUCAUAUACUUGAAAUAAGAUAACUAUAAGAAAUGAGCCCUGCUUCAUUAAAAUGUGCUGGUUCUGGAUUAACAGUUCUAGAAAAGAUUAAUGCUUUCAAAAGUGUUCAUUAGACUGGAACAAAGAGCAGGGCCCCUCAAGUGAGGAUGUUCGUUUGGCAACCAGUAGCAAAGGCCUGUUGGGAAAUGAUAUGUACAUGUUUUAAAAACAACUUGUCAUUAAAAUCAUUUUUUGUGAAGUGGAGGUAGGGACAGGAACUGAAAGCUUUUUUUUCUAGGCCAAGGAAUAAAAUUCUGAAUUAAAUUUUAUUCUAAAUACAGAAGACAGCUGGAUAAGUACCUUUUGGUAGGAGAGGUCACCAGAGGCAGUUCAUAGUACCCUGAAAUCCAUAACUGAGGCAUAUCAGAGAAGAAAGAUGACAGUGGACAGUAGAUGCUUUUUUCUGAUAUGCUGCCUGCCAAAACAAUCAGAGGGAAGAAAAGCAGUUUUCCUGUACUUGUAGGGAAAUAGGCAAUCCGCUCUAAGAUGAGCUUUUGCAGCAAGACUAGACAUUCAUACUCUUUCUCUGGUUUUACAUCUGACUCUUCUCUCAUUUCUAUCUUGAUUUACUACAACCCUGGAGGUUCUUGGACAUCUUGGGAAUUUUCAUGCAGACCAUCCUGAAGAGGGGAAACUGCCUUCAUCUAGUAAAGUUGUGAAGAAAAGGUGUCUGGAGUCUAUACCAUUCUGGAUUCUUGGUCAAAAGGCACAUUCCUUGACCAUAAAGUUUGAUGCAGUAAAGUUGUCAUUAUAAUGAUGAAAGGGGAAACGCCUAAAAGCCAUUGAGUCAGGUUGAAGGGAUGUAAUGUGAUAGGAAUGUUCUGGUAAGAGUUAACUGACAAUUUAAUGUUCAUAAUGGCUGUAAUUUUGUGUUUGCUUUACUAAGGUGAGAAAUUUCCUUGCUGUCAACUGCAGGGGAAGAUUAUUGUCACACCUGACAAGAAGUAAUCUGACCCAAUCUAAAAAAAGUGAGGCUAUGCAGUUAUCUUGACCCCUGUCAUAACUAAAAUGGAAGGGUAACAACCCUCCUGUAGACAAUGCUAUAAAAUCCCUCCUGGCCAGAGGCACCAAAAUCCUUUAACUUAUAAAGGGUUAAGAAGCUCAGGUAACCUGGCUGACACCUGACCCAAAGGACCAAUAAGGGGACAAUAUGCUUUCAAAUGGGUUGGGGGUGGGGGAAAGAAGGGAAGGCUUUUGUUUUGUGUGCUCUGUUUUUGGGUGUGGUCACUCUUGGAACUAAGAGGGGACUGGACAUCAAUCCAUGUUCUCCAAAUCUUUGUGCACAAGUCUCUCAUAUUUCAAACUUGUAAGUAACAGCCAGGCAAGGUGUGUUAGUUUUAUCUUUGUUUUCUCAACUUGUAAGUCUUCCUUUUACUAAGAGGGUUUACCUCUGUUUCUGUAACUUUGAACCUAAGGCUAGAGGGGGUUCCUCUGGGCUCUUUGAAUCUGAUUACCCUGUAAAGUUAUUUCCAUCCUGAUUUUACAGAGAUGAACUUUACUUUUUCUUUUAAUAAAAUUCUUCUAAGAACCUGA